UGUUCUGUGGCUUAGUUGGUUCAAGCGCUGGUCUAGCGAAUACGGAAUCGUGAGUUCGAGUCUCAUUAGAACGC
rnacentral:tRNA from 1 species